rnacentral:rRNA from 1 species
UACGUAGGGGGCAAGCGUUGUCCGGAUUUAUUGGGCGUAAAACGCUCGUAGGUGGCUACGUCAAGUCGGACGUGAAAUCUCCCGGCUUAACUGGGAGAGGUCGCUCGAUACUGGCGAGCUCGAGGCAGGUAGGGGGAAGCGGAAUUCCCGGUGUAGUGGUGAAAUGCGUAGAUAUCGUGAGGAAGACCAGUGGCGAAGGCGGGUCUCUGGACAGUUCCUGACGCUGAGGCGCGAAGGCCAGGGGAGCAAACGGG